CCUACGGGUGGCUGCAGUGAGGAAUAUUGGUCAAUGGCCGGAAGGCUGAACCAGCCAUGCCGCGUGAAGGUCAGUGCCCUAUGGGCGUUAAACUUCUUUUGUGCGGGAGCAAUAAUGGUCACGUGUGGCCAGACGAGAGUACCGUACGAAUAAGCAUCGGCUAACUCCGUGCCAGCAGCCGCGGUAAUACGGGGGAUGCAAGCGUUAUCCGGAUUUAUUGGGUUUAAAGGGAGCGUAGGCGGGUUGUUAAGUCAGUUGUGAAAGUUUGCGGCUCAACCGUAAAAUUGCAGUUGAUACUGGCAUCCUUGAGUACAGUAGAGGUAGGCGGAAUUCGUGGUGUAGCGGUGAAAUGCUUAGAUAUCACGAAGAACUCCGAUUGCGAAGGCAGCCUGCUGGACUGUAACUGACGCUGAUGCUCGAAAGUGUGGGUAUCAAACAGGAUUAGAUACCCCAGUAGUC
rnacentral:rRNA from 1 species